CCUUUUGCCAUGGAAUGCAACAUAAUUGUAACCAUGACAUCUCCUCAUAUGUCAAAGUUCCACUUACACACAAACAGGAGGGAAUUUUCACAAGAGUGAGGAUCUUUGGGAGCCAUUCUUAGAAGUCUGCCUGUCACAAUUAGUAUAGCAAUGAUAAUUCUUUACCACGAAAUACUAUUCAGGAAUAAAAAAUAACAGACUACUGAUAGAUAUAACAAUGGUUAAACUAUAAAACAGUCUGCUUCAUAAAAGGGACAAGACAUAAGAAAGAGUUCAUAUUGGAUGAUGGAAGAGGAAGUUGACUGAUAUGGUGCAUGCUAGAACUCUUGGGAUGAGAGGAAUGCCCUUUAUCUUGAUGGGACGAAGUUUCGCUCUUAUUACCCAGGCUGGAGUGCAACGGCGCAAUCUCGGCUCACCCAACCUCUGCCUCCUGGGUUCAGGCAAUUCUCCUGCUUCAACCUCCCAAGUAGCUGGGCUUAUAGGCACGCACCACCAUGCCCAGCUAAUUUUUUGUAUCUUUAGUAGACAUGGGGUUUCACCAUUUCAACCAGGAUAG
rnacentral:lncRNA from 13 species